GAUGAACGCUGGCGGCGUGCCUAAUACAUGCAAGUCGAGCGCACGGACGAGAAGCUUGUUCCUCUGAUGUUAGCGGCGGACGGGUGAGUAACACGUGGAUAACCUACCUAUAAGCCUGGGACAACUUCGGGAAACCGGAGCUAAUACCGGAUAAUAUUUUGAACCGCAUGGUUUAAAAGUGAAAGAUGCUCUUGCUGUACCUAAUAGUUGUACCCACGUUGCAUUGGUUAGUUGGUAAGGUAACGGCUUACCAAGGCAAGGAUGCAUAGCCAACCUGAAAGGGUGAUCGGCCACACUGGAACGGAGACACGCUCCAGACUCCUACGGGAGGCAGCAGUAGGGAAUCUUCCGCAAUGGGCGAAAGCCUAACGGGGCAACGCCGCGUGGUGGAUGAGGGUCUUCGAAUCGUAAAACCCUGUGAUUAGGAAAGAACAUAUGUGUAAGUAACUGUUCACAUCGUGACGGUACCUAAUCAGAAAGCCACGGCUAACUACGUG
rnacentral:rRNA from 1 species